rnacentral:lncRNA from 1 species
GGAGGCACAGUAUCUCAAAAUCAACUUGCACUGGUUUCAAAUUGGGAAGUUGGAUUUCACAUUCUUGUGAUGAAUUUCUUUGUAAUUUGGUCUUUAGAUGAUGACUGAUAACAUCUAUGAUCCUACUGGGGAAGCACAUUUUAGAUAAUUUUCCCAAAUGUCUUUAUAGGUUAUAUUUCCAGAGAACCUGUUGCAACACAGCGUACAGAGACCACUGUCACUUGGGAUUCACCAGGUUAUACUUCCAGAGAACCUGUUGCAACACAGCGUACAGAGACCACUGUCACUUGGGAUUCACCAGGUAAGUUACCAACCAAAGGAGAUGGGUAAUAGAUUUCCAGCCAUUAGCAUCAUAUCUGUGUAUUUAAUAAGCACCUAUC